UACGUAGGGUGCGAGCGUUGUCCGGAAUUAUUGGGCGUAAAGAGCUCGUAGGCGGUUUGUCGCGUCUGCUGUGAAAACCUAAGGCUCAACCUUGGGCUUGCAGUGGGUACGGGCAGACUAGAGUGCGGUAGGGGUGACUGGAAUUCCUGUUGUAGCGGUGGAAUGCGCAGAUAUCAGGAGGAACACCGAUGGCGAAGGCAGGUCACUGGGCCGCAACUGACGCUGAGGAGCGAAAGCAUGGGGAGCGAACAGG
rnacentral:rRNA from 1 species